UCUGGGGGACCGGCCACGCUGGCAGCACCCCCACCCCACCCCUGUCUUGGCCCCUUCCAGCUGUCGACCUCAGAUCAUAUGUUAGACUUUGUUUGGGGGUUCUUUCCCUGGAUUGCUGGUCUUUCGAGAUGUUGAGUCACUGUCACCUAAUUCCACUGGUCUAAUAAGCACAACCAAUUGAUGACCUUCUCCUUAAGGGGUUAAACGGGGCUUCUGUUCAAUACUCACUCCGCCCCUGCACACCCAAGUCACACUCCUCUUGCAGGCUGGGCAGACGCUUGGGCGGGACCCAUCUGCAUCCAACCAGCAGGUCCUCUAACUCAGGCCCCGCCCCUCCCGCCUGGUCCCACUCAACAGCGCGUGCGCUCCUCCAGGCUGGACACCCCACCCCCGGGAGCAGCUCUUGGGUCCCCCAACUCCCGACAUUUGAUCGGUGACGUCAAGUGUCUUAAUCAUCUUUACCCAGCUGGUGAGAAGGAUCCAGAGUCACGCUGUUCGACUCCAGGAGCUCCUACGCCACAUCUGUCCUGUUUUCUUCUCUGACCCUCAGAGACUGGCCAUCGAUAAGUAUUGCAUGAAUGAAUGCAUGACUGACUUCAAUGAAUGAAUGAACUUGUUGUCAUGAAAGUCUUGAAAUGCCUUGAACGUUCCGGGAAAAGAGACUCUUCCUGAUGAAUGAAUGCAUGACCGAUUCAGUGAAUGAAUGGACUUGUUGUUGUGACGAUUAGACGAGUCGUCUUGAAAGUUCCAGAAACAGAGACUCUUCCUCUAGGAAGGGAUGGAACAGCUGUCAGAAGCUUGGGGUGAGGAGGCCCCGGGUGGGUGGAGGCCCUGGUUUGAACCCUGGAGCCCAGUGGGAGGGAGCGCUGAGGCUAUGCUGUGGCAAAGCCUCCUGUUCUUUCCAGAACCAGCUGUGACCACGUCGGCGGGCAGCUCACUCCUGACCUUUGGGUGCUGUUUCCUUGUGGGCCUUCGAGGAGAGCAGGGCCCACCGUGCCUCUGGCAACCUCUGAGAGGAGCUGCCCGCCUGGCCUGAGCAGCACGUGAUGGUCCACAGAGAAAAGACCAUCUAUUUUCUGUCGGCGUGAACUCUCACAUUUACGGUUUUGCCAAGCUGAAAAUAACAAUAACAUACUCUGCUCUCCAUAGCCCUGUCCCCUCGUGAAGGGAGAGGAGAAAAAGGAAACAAAGUCCCCUCUGUUGGCGGCAUGGGCUUCUUUUCAAGCCCCCAGGCCCCCUGCUGUGGCAGUGGAGGGAGCUGGGCCCAGCAGGCGGGGCUUGGUGGACGGUCUGGGAGACCCCCCGAGGCUGGACUUGCUUCCCAUGUGGGAGUGGGGUGGCCGCGGGCCCUGCAGGGGCACCUACCAAGGUGCUGGGGGGCCUGGGGGGUCUGAACGUAUCCCCCAUGCCUGUGGAUCAGCGCUUCCCAUCCCCACCCAGGCGCCCCAUGAGCCCCGGUCAAGGGCACAGAGUUCCGAAGCCCAAUGUGUUCCCAGAGGCCCUAUCCUUUGAACAGUCUUCCUUUUCACUGCCCUGCUCAGAAAACGGGGAAUGUUCAAACCUCCAUCUUCUGUCUUAAGGAGAUUCCUGCUGUGACUCGGUCUCUGACGUGGGUCUUUUCUUUCCCCUUCCCGGGUGGGGUCUGGGCUGGAGCCUCAGAGCAGAGAGGCGGACAUGCUGGGGGCGGGUUGGCUGUGCCGCUGGGAGGCCUUCCUGCCGCCUCCACCCCGCGGGGCUCUGGGGACAGGCCCGGGGCGCUGAGAGAGGCUUGGUCUCGGGCACAGACUGUGAGGCGGGUUGGCCCCCAGCUGACGGGGAUCACUGUCCGGGCCUCGCUGCCUCCCUGCGGCCACAGACACUCACAAUCCCCUGUUUUGUCUCUUCCUCAGAUGGGUCUGUCCUCAAUUACUCUGUGGCCCUGCUCUCUGCUUUCUACAGCUCGCUUGUGAAGGAACAUUUGCCCUGGAGCUGGGGACACGUGGGCGUCCAACACCUUCACUCUAGAAGGCUCUGUGCCCUCGCGGGUACGGAGAAGGCCACCCCCAGCGUCCUGGAACCCCCAGCCUGGAACUUCCCGCUCACUCUGGCUUCCCCGGGAAACCAGGACUUUCCUCAGCAGGGCCCUCAGCUCAGAUUUCCCUUCCUUUAAGUUUUCAAAUUUUUCUUGCCUUAAUUUUUUUCAAAUUAAGAGGCUUCUCACAGGGCCUCUGUAGCACCUGGAGCUUCGUUUUGACAGGAGCCCAGUGUUCUGGAAUCGUUGCUCUAAGUGGGUGUGGAAAUUACCACGGGGAGCAGCCCCUCAGGGCGUGAGACGCUGGGCGCUGGGAAAAUGAGUGCCAUGGACCCUCCGGAGGGGUGUUUCUUUUUUU